rnacentral:rRNA from 1 species
GACAGAGGGUGCAAACGUUGUUCGGAAUUACUGGGCGUAAAGCGCGUGUAGGCGGCCCUGCAAGUCGGGUGUGAAAUCCCACGGCUCAACCGUGGAAGUGCACUCGAAACUGCAGGGCUAGAGUCCUGGAGAGGAAGGUGGAAUGCUUGGUGUAGAGGUGAAUUCGUAGAUAUCAAGCGGAACACCGGUGGCGAAGGCGGCCUUCUGGACAGUGACUGACGCUGAGACGCGAAAGCGGUGGGAGCAAACAG